rnacentral:rRNA from 1 species
UACGGAGGAUGCAAGCGUUAUCCGGAUUCAUUGGGUUUAAAGGGUGCGCAGGCGGGGAUGUAAGUCAGUGGUGAAAAGCUGCCGCUUAACGGUAGUCUUGCCAAUGAUACUACAUUUCUUGAGUAUGGUUAAGGUAGGCGGAAUGUGCAGUGUAGCGGUGAAAUGCAUAGAUAUCACGAGGAACUCCGAUUGCGCAGGCAGCUUACUAAACUACUACUGACGCUCAGGCACGAAGGCGUGGGGAUCAAACAGGA